CCCUUAGAUGUUCUGGGCCGCACGCGCGCUACACUGACGAAUGCAACGAGCUUAUAACCUUGGCCGAAAGGUCUGGGUAAUCUCCAAAUUUCGUCGUGAUGGGGAUAGAUUAUUGCAAUUAUUAAUCUUCAACGAGGAAUGCCUAGUAAGCGCAAGUCAUCAGCUUGCGUUGAUUACGUCCCUGCCCUUUGUACACACCGCCCGUCGCUCCUACCGAUUGAAUGGUCCGGUGAAGCGUUCGGACCGUGGCCUUUGGACGGUUCGCCGUCUGUUGGCUGCGGGAAGUUCGUUAAACCUUAUCAUUUAGAGGAAGGAGAAGUCGUAUCA
rnacentral:rRNA from 1 species